rnacentral:rRNA from 1 species
UACGUAGGGGGCAAGCGUUGUCCGGAUUCAUUGGGCGUAAAGAGCGUGUAGGCGGCCAGGUAGGUCGGUUGUGAAAACUGGAGGCUCAACCUUCAGACGUCGACCGAAACCAUCUGGCUAGAGUCCGGGAGAGGAGAGUGGAAUUCCUGGUGUAGCGGUGAAAUGCGCAGAUAUCAGGAAGAACACCCGUGGCGAAGGCGGCUUUCUGGGACGGUACUGACGCUGAGACGCGAAAGCGUGGGGAGCGAACAGG